CCAAAGGCUCUUUUAAGAGCCAACACUUAUUCUGUCAGCAACUCAUU
rfam:Oryzias latipes DNA, chromosome1, strain: Hd-rR.